UACGUAGGGUGCAAGCGUUGUCCGGAUUUAUUGGGCGUAAAGAGCGUGUAGGCGGCCAUGUAGGUCCGGUGUGAAAACUCGAGGCUUAACCUCGAGAUGUCAUCGGAAACCAUUUGGCUAGAGUCCGGAAGAGGAGAGUGGAAUUCCUGGUGUAGCGGUGAAAUGCGCAGAUAUCAGGAAGAACAACCCAAUGGCGAAAAGCAGCUCUCUGGGGACGG
rnacentral:rRNA from 1 species